AGAGACCUAGGGGACCUAACACAAAUAUCAGCCGUAGAAGACCAAAAAAUGAGACCCCCCGUUCAUCUUCUUUAGCCCCAAACACCCCUGAACUUCCACGCUUGACCCAAUCCUCUCCAUCUUAAAAACCAACCAGCCACCACCAACCUUCAACCAACGAUCUUUCUUCUUCCUCAACCUGUUCCCACCCUCUCCAUUUCGAAUCUAUAACAGCGGCUCACCAUCAAAGCCAUCGACGAACCAGGCCUUAUAUUUACCUUUAUCUUUACCACCGGCCACUGAUAGACGCAGACACAAUAGAGGGGACAAUCAGAAAAAAAGAGUGAAAACGGACAAAAGGAGUUUUGCAUAUAUUAGAGGAUUUCUCUUCUGAUUUUCGAUUUUAAUUUUCAUGUAUAAAAAUUAUCAAAAGAAAUUAUGUUUCUUGUCACUGCAAAAGUGGUUUGAGAUUUGGAUUUUUGAGUUGAUUUCGACUGUAUGUUUCGGAGUUUGAGGUCGUAGAUAAAGAUUCUUGUUGCCUGGUCCAUUUUUUUAAUCCAAAUUCCAGACAGAAUCUUGUGAGGUUUUCGGCGAGAUGUUCCAAUAGGGAUCUUGUCUGUUGUUUUAAUAUCUUAGAUUCAAUACAAAGGUCCAUUUCUUUUCAACUCUUUAUGUAGUCGGCGGAUAUACCUCUUUGUUUCAGCGAGUUUGAAUAUGUUUGUGAUUUGUUUAUUGUGGGUUAGUUUCAUUGUUAUAUUGUUUCAUUUGUUCUUCAUUUAUUUUGUCCUUGCAAGAUAUGUUCCAUAAAAUGAAGACAUGAAUGAAUUUGAAUGGAAAUGGCAAACGGUGACUUGUUUGAAUUGUGGGGGGUUGAUCAAAUGGGUUUGGGUCAAAUUCAUGAAAUUGAUGUUGGAUACGCAGGUUCGGGAUUGAAGUGUAAUUUGAUUAAUUUGUUCAUUCCUAUUUUUAAGUUUGUUUUUUAGUUCCUAACUCAUAUCAAGAUUCUUUAUUUAGCUAACAUAUGUCAGCAAUCAGCUUUUGUGAAAUAAUAUUUUGAAC
rnacentral:lncRNA from 1 species